ACUAAAAAUCACUUUAGCUCAAUUAUAUACAAAUUGCUGAAAGUAAAACUACUUGAUAAUACAGUAAUAAAAAAUGGCCCAGUAGUUAUAACAUGGCUACAACUAACUUGCUGAUAUAGGAAACAACCCUUCUUUCACUCUAUAGUCACCUCUUCUACAACCAUAUUGAUUUCAUUCAGGAAAGGUUGUGAGUAUUGCAGC
rnacentral:lncRNA from 1 species